GUGAGGAAUAUUGGACAAUGGGCGAAAGCCUGAUCCAGCCAUGCCGCGUGUGUGAAGAAGGUCUUCGGAUUGUAAAGCACUUUAAGUUGGGAGGAAGGGCAGUAAGUUAAUACCUUGCUGUUUUGACGUUACCGACAGAAUAAGCACCGGCUAACUUCGUGCCAGCAGCCGCGGUAAUACGAAGGGUGCAAGCGUUAAUCGGAAUUACUGGGCGUAAAGCGCGCGUCGGUGGUUUUGUAAGUUGGAGGUGAAAUCCCCGGGCUCAACCUGGGAACUGCCUCCAAAACUGCAUGACUAGAGUACGGUAGAGGGUAGUGGAAUUUCCUGUGUAGCGGUGAAAUGCGUAGAUAUAGGAAGGAACACCAGUGGCGAAGGCGACUACCUGGACUGAUGCUGACACUGAGGUGCGAAAGCGUGGGGAGCAAACAGGAUUAGAAACCCGGGUAGUCC
rnacentral:rRNA from 1 species